CAAUAGCGUAUAUUAAAGUUGUUGCAGUUAAAAAGCUCGUAGUUGGAUCUGUGGUGUGCGGUGGGCUCCGGGCACUUGUUGUCUGAGUAGCUCGCCGCUGCCAUCCUUGGGUGGAACCUGUGUGGCAUUAGGUUGUCGUGCAGGGGAUGCCCAUCGUUUACUGUGAAAAAAUUAGAGUGUUCAAAGCAGGCUUAUGCCGUUGAAUAUAUUAGCAUGGAAUAAUGAGAUAGGACUUUUUCGCUAUUUUGUUGGUUUGCGCGAAGAGGUAAUGAUUAAUAGGGACAGUUGGGGGUAUUCGUAUUCCAUUGUCAGAGGUGAAAUUCUUGGAUUUUUGGAAGACGAACUACUGCGAAAGCAUUUGCCAAGGAUGUUUUCAUUAA
rnacentral:rRNA from 1 species